GGUAGGUUAGUCAGUGGUGAAGAUGUUGGACUGCUGAUCAGAAGGUUGUGAGUUCAAAUCCCAGCAUUGCAA